GAUGAACGCUGGCGGCGUGCCUAAUACAUGCAAGUCGAGCGAACAGACGAGGAUCUUGCUCCUCUGACGUUAGCGGCGGGCGGGUGAGUAACGCGUGUAUAACCUCCCUAUCAUACUGGUAUAACUUGGGGACACCGGCGCUAAUACCGGAUAAUCUCUUGAACCGCAUGGUGCAAUAGUGAAAGACGGUUUUUGUGUCACUUCUCGCUGGAUCCGCGCCGCAUGAGCUAGUUGGUAAGUUCACAGGUUACCAAGGCAACGAUGCGUAGCCGACCUGAGAGGGUGAUCGGCCACACUGGAACUGAGACACGGUCCAGACUCCUACGGGAGGCAGCAGUAGGGAAUCUGCCGCAAAGGGCGAAAGCUUGACGGAGCAACGCCGCGUGAGUGAUGAAGGUCUUCGGAUCGUAAAACUCUGUUAUUAGGGAAGAACAAAUGUGUAAGUAACUAUGCACGUCUUGACAGUACCUAAUCAGAAAGCCACGGCUAACUACGUG
rnacentral:rRNA from 1 species